ACGCAGGCGGUCUGUCAAGUCGGAUGUGAAAUCCCCGGGCUCAACCUGGGAACUGCAUUCGAAACUGGCAGGCUGGAGUCUUGUAGAGGGGGGUAGAAUUCCAGGUGUAGCGGUGAAAUGCGUAGAGAUCUGGAGGAAUACCGGUGGCGAAGGCGGCCCCCUGGACAAAGACUGACGCUCAGGUGCGAAAGCGUGGGGAGCAAACAGGAUUAGAUACCCUGGUAGUCCACGCUGUAAACGAUGUCGACUUGGAGGUUGUUCCCUUGAGGAGUGGCUUCCGGAGCUAACGCGUUAAGUCGACCGCCUGGGGAGUACGGCCGCAAGGUUAAAACUCAAAUGAAUUGACGGGGGCCCGCACAAGCGGUGGAGCAUGUGGUUUAAUUCGAUGCAACGCGAAGAACCUUACCUACUCUUGACAUCCACAGAACUUAGCAGAGAUGCUUUGGUGCCUUCGGGAACUCUGAGACAGGUGCUGCAUGGCUGUCGUCAGCUCGUGUUGUGAAAUGUUGGGUUAAGUCCCGCAACGAGCGCAACCCUUAUCCUUUGUUGCCAGCGAUUCGGUCGGGAACUCAAAGGAGACUGCCAGUGAUAAACUGGAGGAAGGUGGGGGAUGACGUCAAGUCAUCAUGGCCCUUACGAGUAGGGCUACACACGUGCUACAAUGG
rnacentral:rRNA from 1 species